CCCUUAGAUGUCCUGGGCUGCACGCGCGCUACACUGAUGUGUCCAGUAAGCACCUAACCUCUUCCGAAAGGAACGGGUAACCUUUGCAAAGCACAUCGUGAUGGGGAUAGAUUAUUGCAAUUAUUAGUCUUGAACGAGGAAUUCCUAGUAAGCACAAGUCAUCAGCUUGUGUUGAUUACGUCCCUGCCCUUUGUACACACCGUCCGUCGCUCCUACCGAUUGAAUGGUCCGGUGAAAAUUAGGGACCGUGGCAAUGCCUACUGGGUCACCGGAAGCGCUGCCGUGGGAACUCAUUUAAACCUUAUCAUUUAGAGGAAGGAGAAGUCGUAACA
rnacentral:rRNA from 1 species